CACCAUCACUGUGCCUGCCGACGCCGCUGUCUUUCGACCUCAGCGUCGACCUCCUCCACUUGACCGUGCCCUAGCUCCGAACCAAGUCUUCUUCCUCAGUUUUUCUAGUUGUUAUCGCCAGUGUAACUCUAGCCAGUAUUCAACAGCCGCUGGGACCAAUCGUCGAAGAAGGAACUGUUGAUUUGAGGAAACACAGGGUUCCCGGCAGCAACUUCGCUGUGACUUAGGCAACAAAUUUCCAGCAUCAAUAGGGGGCUUCAGAUUAAGGACUGUGACGCGAGACGAGUAUCUCGGAGUCAGAUUUGGACUUUUCUUAUCGG